rnacentral:lncRNA from 1 species
AUGAAGAAGGAGGGAGGGGAAGGGUUUAUUUGCUCUCCAGGGCUUCCUAGGCUGGGGCUCUUCCUUAGCACUGCUGUCUGGUCUCUGUGUGUUUCUAUCAGAGUAAAUAAACCUCCUCUUGUAAAUGCUGACCUCUGGCAAUGUAGUAAAUGCUGGUGUCAGCCAAACCUGUGCUCAGUCACUCGCGGGGAUGUGUUGCUCCUCAGUGUGAUGCUGUGGCAUUGCUUCCCCUGCAAGCACCAAAAGGAGAGGCCACGAGACACCUUCCUUUGGGUCUCAGUUCCAGCUUGCAUGACCUAGGAUUACAGUUGCUAUGGCGAUGAGACAGUUAGUGAAGGAAGGAGUGAAAGGUCUAAAAUAUCUGGGGAUAUCAUUUUAACCAAAGAAAACAGUCACACUGUUGAUAUAUGUAUGAAUGAGGAAGAGAAACAGACUGCGAAGGAGAGGGUAAGUCUGUCUGCAGCCUUCUUGUAACUGCUGUGGGGUCGGAGGAGGCAAAGAGAUGGCCAAAGGUGGCAGAAGGUGAUAUUGUUUCAGCAGGGGAUGCACCUCCAUCCAAGCUAGCAGCAGUUCCUUAUCAGCUGUGAGCGUGGUGAUCCUGGUCUGGAUGAAACACCAGCACAGGUAUCCCAUUUGCUUGUCACCAUUACGGGCUUUUGUGCUGCUUUCUCUGGGAACAGGACACACUGUUGUGCCUCUGGCUGGGAGGAAAAGUGGAUUAUGCUUUGCAUCCCUACAGUCCUUCAAAAAACAUUAGUGGAAGACGCACCCUCCCUUAUUUUUCUUCCAAUGCCAGGCCACAGACCUUCCCUUUGGAGGCUAGGCUGCCUUCUGAUCCAUGGCUGGCCACAGCAGAGAGAGGCAACUCUGUGUCUGUUACCAUAUUAGAUGAGGAAAGUUGGUAAGAGGCUAUCUGAGAUUACUACUUAUCUGAGAUCUCUUCUGCAUCAGUACCUCUUCUCCCAAAGAAAGCCGUUGCCAAGUAAAGCAGUGGGUAGUAGCUGGUCAGAGCAUCUGAUACCGGGCGGAGGAGGGUUUGAUUUGUUGGCUUUGUUUCUGCCACCUUCCAGUCCUCCUGGAGGUGUAAAGGAGCAUGGGGCUACCUGUGAGAGAAGCUCUGGCAGUUCCAGUGCUGCGAAGAACUAUUGAAGUGCUGUGUAUUAUAAAGCUAACAAAGGAAAUUCCUGUUUUUGGGGUAUUGCCCUCGGGUUUGGGGAUAGUUCUACUCUCUGCAGUAUCCAGGACGGUGUUUAUACUAAUGUUUAGCCUUUGUUUGCAAAGGAAGGUUUCCAAGCGUGAACCAAUUACAACUUCACGCGCUUCAAGGCUUGAAACAGCAAACAUCCAGAACUAAGGCUUUUGAGCAGGGCUGACUUCCCCUAGUAAUCCAUCACCAGAAGCUUCUGAAUAAAAUGCUGGCCACUUGAAUAUGUGAAGCUUGU